rnacentral:rRNA from 1 species
GACAGAGGGUGCAAACGUUGUUCGGAAUUACUGGGCGUAAAGCGCGUGUAGGCGGCCAGGUAAGUCGGGCGUGAAAGCCCACGGCUCAACCGUGGAAGCGCACUCGAAACUACUUGGCUAGAGUCCUGGAGAGGAAGGUGGAAUACUUGGUGUAGAGGUGAAAUUCGUAGAUAUCAAGUGGAACACCGGUGGCGAAGGCGGCCUUCUGGACAGUGACUGACGCUCAAGCGCGAAAGCGUGGGGAGCAAACAGG